CAGACUCUCACAGAACAGGGUGGUGGGACUACAGGAAAAAGCAGUGGAUAAUGGUAUAUGCAGCUUUGUCAAUUGUGACCAGGAUCACAGAAUGAUAUUGGUUUUCUAAGAGGAUGCAAGUUGGGUUUCUUAAGGAAGGAUAAAGCAGGUGCCAAACUGAGAUGAGCUUCCACAGCAAUGAGCACAGUGCACCUAAGGCUUCAGUGGAUGAUUUGUGAGAUUGCAUCUUGAGGCAGGAUAUUCUAUAUGAGUGGAAGGCCCACAGUGAGGAAGAUGUGAUCUCCUGUAUGGAGAAGAGAAUUAGGACUGUCAUGUCAAUGGCGAGGUCACAUGUUCUAGACCUUUAUUCACAAGGUUUGUUACCAUAUCAUAGAAGGAUAUUAGGUGAGUUCUGAUCCUCAACACUGCAGCAUGAAGUUCUAUGUUACUCAGCAACAACUAAAAGGCA